AUUGAACGCUGGCGGCAGGCCUAACACAUGCAAGUCGAGCGGAUGAAGGGAGCUUGCUCCUGGAUUCAGCGGCGGACGGGCGAGUAAUGCCUAGGAAUCUGCCUGGUAGUGGGGGAUAACGUCCGGAAACGGGCGCUAAUACCGCAUACGUCCUGAGGGAGAAAGUGGGGGAUCUUCGGACCUCACGCUAUCAGAUGAGCCUAGGUCGGAUUAGCUAGUUGGUGGGGUAAAGGCCUACCAAGGCGACGAUCCGUAACUGGUCUGAGAGGAUGAUCAGUCACACUGGAACUGAGACACGGUCCAGACUCCUACGGGAGGCAGCAGUGGGGAAUAUUGGACAAGGGGCGAAAGCCUGAUCCAGCCAUGCCGCGUGUGUGAAGAAGGUCUUCGGAUUGUAAAGCACUUUAAGUUGGGAGGAAGGGCAGUAAGUUAAUACCUUGCUGUUUUGACGUUACCAACAGAAUAAGCACCGGCUAACUUCG
rnacentral:rRNA from 1 species